rnacentral:hammerhead_ribozyme from 1 species
ACCCAGCUGGCAAGUCCCAAAUAGGACGAAACAUGCGUCCUGAAU